rnacentral:rRNA from 1 species
CCUACGGGUGGCAGCAGUAGGGAAUAUUCCGCAAUGAGCGAAAGCCUGACGGAGCGACGCCGCGUGAAGGAUGAAGGUCUUCGGAUCGUAAACCGCUGUCAGCAGGGAAGAACGGUCGCUGUGCUAAUCAGCAGUGAAUUGACGGUACCUGCAAAGGAAGCACCGGCUAACUCCGUGCCAGCAGCCGCGGUAAUACUGAGGGUGCGAGCGUUAAUCGGAAUUACUGGGCGUAAAGCGCUCGUAGGCGGUAUGUCAAGUCAAGGGGGAAAUCCCCGCGCUCAACGUGGGAACUGCCUUUGAAACUGGCAAACUGGAGUGUGUUAGAGGAUAGUGGAAUUCCAGGUGUAGGAGUGAAAUCCGUAGAUAUCUGGAGGAACAUCAGUGGCGAAGGCGACUAUCUGGCACAUAACUGACGCUGAGGAGCGAAAGCGUGGGUAGCAAACAGGAUUAGAUACCCCAGUAGUC